AGAUCACUCUGCUCAACAACAGCAGAAUACUCAUUGUUCCCAAGCACACAUGGAACAUUCUCUAGGAUAUACCAUGUUAGGGGCCAAUACAAGUAUCAGUACAUAUUUGAGAAAUUGAAAUCACACAGAGCAUCUUCUCUAACAACCAUGGAAUGAAGGAAGAAAUCAUUAACAGAACCAUUCACCAUCACGUUUGCCACACAUGAGAAUUUAUUACAAAGUCAUUUAUUGGAGGAGGUCAAUGUGAAAGGAUCAUAUAAUAAAAGAAAAAAUUGACAGUAGUCAAUGGGAAAAAAAAAUAAUCCCAGUUUGUAUUGAUGAAAGCCCAAUGUUAACGGGGGGAAAAUCCAAGUGUUACACUGUGGAGACAGCCAACCAGAGAAAGAAGCACGACAGCACCACCUGGCACCUACAUUCAUUGAUCUUGGGGUCACAUUUAAUACUACAGCUAUGUGCAGAGCAAUACCAAAGGACGAGCUCACAAGCAGGACUUCCAUAG
rnacentral:lncRNA from 1 species